rnacentral:rRNA from 1 species
UACGGAGGAUCCAAGCGUUAUCCGGAUUCAUUGGGUUUAAAGGGAGCGUAGGUGGUCUUCUAAGUCAGUGGUGAAAUCCUGUCGCUUAACGAUAGAAUUGCCAUUGAUACUGGAGGACUUGAGUGUAGUUGCCGUUGGCGGAAUAUGACAUGUAGUGGUGAAAUACAUAGAGAUGUCAUAGAACACCGAUUGCGAAGGCAGCUGACGAAACUAUAACUGACACUGAGGCUCGAAAGUGUGGGGAUCAAACAGG